CCUACGGGCGGCAGCAGUGAGGAAUAUUGGUCAAUGGACGGAAGUCUGAACCAGCCAUGCCGCGUGCAGGAAGACGGCUCUAUGAGUUGUAAACUGCUUUUGUACAAGGGUAAACCUGAAUACGUGUAUUCAGCUGACAGUACUGUACGAAUAAGGAUCGGCUAACUCCGUGCCAGCAGCCGCGGUACUACGGAGGAUCCAAGCGUUAUCCGGAUGUAUUGGGUUUAAAGGGUGCGUAGGCGGAUUGAUAAGUUAGAGGUGAAAUGUCCGAGCUUAACUCGGGAAUUGCCUCUAAUACUGUUGAGCUAGAGAGUAGAUGCGGUAGGCGGAAUGUAUGGUGUAGCGGUGAAAUGCUUAGAGAUCAUACAGAACACCGAUUGCGAAGGCAGCUUACCAAUCUAUAUCUGACGUUGAGGCACGAAAGCGUGGGGAGCAAACAGGAUUAGAUACCCUUGUAGUC
rnacentral:rRNA from 1 species